UCCAGAGGCAGGUAAGCCACUGACUAACGCACAUUGCGCUUGUACUGGACUCCACUGUGCGUGUGACAGCGGCUAACCUGCCUCUAGGGUGUCGGUCU
rfam:Lepisosteus oculatus linkage group LG27, whole genome shotgun sequence.